AANNCAGCGCUGCUACCAUGCAGUCGACGGUGAACACGGAGCUUGCUCUGUGGGAUCAGUGGCGAACGGGUGAGUAACACGUGAGCAACCUGCCCCUGACUCUGGGAUAAGCGCUGGAAACGGCGUCUAAUACUGGAUAUGUGACGUGAUCGCAUGGUCUGCGUCUGGAAAGAAUUUCGGUUGGGGAUGGGCUCGCGGCCUAUCAGCUUGUUGGUGAGGUAAUGGCUCACCAAGGCGUCGACGGGUAGCCGGCCUGAGAGGGUGACCGGCCACACUGGGACUGAGACACGGCCCAGACUCCUACGGGAGGCAGCAGUGGGGAAUAUUGCACAAUGGGCGCAAGCCUGAUGCAGCAACGCCGCGUGAGGGAUGACGGCCUUCGGGUUGUAAACCUCUUUUAGCAGGGAAGAAGCGAAAGUGACGGUACCUGCAGAAAAAGCGCCGGCUAACUACGUGCCAGCAGCCGCGGUAAUACGUAGGGCGCAAGCGUUAUCCGGAAUUAUUGGGCGUAAAGAGCUCGUAGGCGGUUUGUCGCGUCUGCUGUGAAAUCCGGAGGCUCAACCUCCGGCCUGCAGUGGGUACGGGCAGACUAGAGUGCGGUAGGGGAGAUUGGAAUUCCUGGUGUAGCGGUGGAAUGCGCAGAUAUCAGGAGGAACACCGAUGGCGAAGGCAGAUCUCUGGGCCGUAACUGACGCUGAGGAGCGAAAGGGUGGGGAGCAAACAGGCUUAGAUACCCUGGUAGUCCACCCCGUAAACGUUGGGAACUAGUUGUGGGGUCCAUUCCACGGAUUCCGUGACGCAGCUAACGCAUUAAGUUCCCCGCCUGGGGGAGUACGGCCGCAAGGCUAAAACUCAAAGGAAUUGACGGGGACCCCGCACAAGCGGCGGAGCAUGCGGAUUAAUUCGAUGCAACGCGAAGAACCUUACCAAGGCUUGACAUAUACGAGAACGGGCCCAGAAAUGGUCAACUCUUUGGACACUCGUAAACAGGUGGUGCAUGGGUUGUCGUCAGCUCGUGUCGUGAGAUGUUGGGUUAAGUCCCGCAACGAGCGCAACCCUCGUUCUAUGUUGCCAGCACGUAAUGGUGGGAACUCAUGGGAUACUGCCCGGGGUCAACUCGGAGNAAGNUGGGGGAUGACGUCCAAUCAUCAUGCCCCUUAUUGUCUNNCUNCACGCAUGCCUACCAUGNCGNNUACAAAGGCUGCAAUAACCGGCCGAAGGNNGGAA
rnacentral:rRNA from 1 species